CAAAAAGGUUGGUUAAUAAAACAAAACGUUUAGGGCAUCUUCUUGUUCUAUGCUUUCUUUGUACUUCAAUUAGUUUUAAAGUUUGUUGGUUUGUUCCAAUGAUUAUUAUGAGAUCCCGGUUAUGUUGGUGCCUUGAAGAUAAGUCGAUUCAAAGGAGAACUAUUAGGUUAUGGUGCUCUAGAAGUUCGAGAUAGAGAAGUUUGAUGGGGAAGAAUUAAUGACUUUAGCUUGUGAAGGAUGAUGAUGCUUGUUCAACAAGAUUUGUACAUCUCAUACAAUACAACCGGAAAAGCUUAAUAAAUAAAAGCUAUUGUUUUUGUACGUUUUAUCUUGUUGAUUUUAUUACAAUGGAACAUUGCAAUUUAUCUUAA